rnacentral:rRNA from 1 species
GAGAGUGGGUAGUCCGCACGAGCGCACCUUACUUUUAGUUGCCAUCAUUUAGUUGGGCACUCUGAAAGAACUGCCAGUGAUAAGCUGGAGGAAGGUGGGGAUGACGUCAAGUCCUCAUGGCCCUUACGUGUUGGGCUACACACGUGCUACAAUGGUAUCUACAACAGGAAGCAAAACAGCGAUGUUAAGCAAAUCCCGAAAAGNUACCUCAGUUCGGAUUGCACUCUGCAACUCGAGUGCAUGAAGCUGGAAUUACUAGUAAUCGUGGAUCAGCGUGCCACGGUGAAUACGUUCCCGGGUCUUGUACACACCGCCCGUCACACCAUGGGAGUUGGUUCUACCUUAAGGCGAAGCUUAAAACCUUUGACCACGGUAUAGUCAGCGACUGGGGUGAAGUCGUAACAAGGUAGCCGUAGGGGAACCUGCGGCUGGAUUACCUCCUUUCU